rnacentral:lncRNA from 1 species
AAGAGAUUCUUUGGCCCGCUGAGACUGCAUAACCAUCUGCCAUAAAUUGAGACUAGUACGGCUUAUUUUGGUGAAUGCAAAAUUGGAUCCCAUUCUUUACUCUGUGGCUUGAUUCAACUUCCAGAUGGUUAAUCCACAUGAAGUAAUAGGAAUGCACCACAGCUCUGCUUAGCUGAAGAUGGAGACGUAAUAUUUAUUUGCUGAUGUGGAGGCCUCCAAACGCUGCCCUGUCGGGAUGUCAAUAUAUAACACGGCAGCACAGAAAUGUCAGCUUGUUCUGCAGGAACGACAGGCUCCCCUGAGUUGCCAUGGGGGGACCCCUGGGUGCCUACUCCCCCCUUCUGUCCUUGACCUAAUCUCAAGAGGUUUUUAUUCUCUCCUGGGCUGUUUCUUAUCAGCUAGGUCUGCCUGUGUAGCUGGCUUCACAUCUGCUUUGACUUUAGUGCCUGUGACAUUUUCAUUAAUACUUCUCCAAGGUUGAGCCUUUAUUCCAAAUACCCUGCAGCUCCCAGAAGCUAAAGCUCAGCUGUGCCCAGCUGGGGGCUGCUGGGAAACUUGGCCCCUGAAAUACCAACAAGUCUGCUGUCCCCACUCAGAUGAGCUGAUCAACACUUUUUAAUUGUUACUGAUCA